ACUUUCAGUGGUGAGGAAGGAAAGAUGUUUAAUAAGCGUCGCAAUUGACGUUACCCGCAGAAGAAGCCCCGGCUAACUCCGUGCCAGCAGCCGCGGUAAUACGGAGGGGGCAAGCGUUAUUCGGAAUUACUGGGCGUAAAGGGCACGCAGGCGGUUUGUUAAGUCGGAUGUGAAAUCCCCGGGCUCAACCUGGGAACUGCAUUUGAAACUGGCAGGCUUGAGUCUAGUAGAGGGGGGUAGAAUUCCAGGUGUAGCGGUGAAAUGCGUAGAGAUUUGGAGGAAUACCGGUGGCGAAGGCGGCCCCCUGGACGAAGACUGACGCUCAGGUGCGAAAGCGUGGGGAGCAAACAGGAUUAGAUACCCUGGUAGUCCACGCCGUAA
rnacentral:rRNA from 1 species